CUGAAUUGCUGCCGCUCCUCCGUAAGCAGGGCGUAGAGUCUGCUCUAUGGGCGGUUUCUUCUGCUCAGCGUGGUUGCGGACAUUGCUGGGAGGAGUGAGAGCGAAGAGGAAGUAGGCGUUAGUCUUCGGAACCUUUCUAACCGUAGCUCGGGCCGUGCAGCGAAAAUGGACACACUUAGUCGUGCUGGGCAUGCGCAUUCGUGCUGUACGGAAUUCCCAAGGCAGCUGCAUCAUCAUGGCGUUGAAAGUUUGGCGGGAAGUUUUUCCUGUUCCUUUUCUUUAUGUGUUCACAGUGAAGUGACAUCCAGCAAACAGGCCUCCAGAGAGAACGAACACAAUGAGAUCUGGAAUUUGAUGGAUAAGCUGCCUUUUAGGAUCCUGGACCAAAUGUCCUAGAAAACGAGAUCUGAUGCAAAAGAAGUGGAAGCAGACAAAGCAAGGGUUGUGAAGGCCUUUGAUCGUCCCUCAUUUAACCUUUGUAGUGACACGGGAACACCAGACAGGGUGCUAGAGGAGGCAGAUUACUUCUUCAAGCUGCUUUGCAUCUGCAACUUGGAAUUUUCUGGGACACUGGAAAGACAGUGAAGGAAAACGUCUCAUCUCCUGCCUUAUGUUUUCCUUCCUUUGUUUGAUGCGUUAUGUGUGAGUUUCUCUUUAAAGGUUCAAGUAUAUUUCAGCAGGGACCUCCUCCCACCUUUGGAUUUAAUUUGUUGUCAGCAAAUCCAUAGGUCACAAGAUGGGAGGGAGGCUCUCCCUGGAAGAAAAAGCUGAUCAUCUCUGUGUACAGAUAUGCACAUGUGUGGGUAUAUAGGGAGGUAGAUACAGACCCCUGUACUCAAAGAGAUUCCCUGCCUUCCCCAGUGUGGGAGAAGAAAUCCAGUUUGAGGAAAGGGUGUGAACCUCCAGGGUCUGAUGUGGGGUCAGGCGUUUGUCAGACUGGCCACAGUGGGACAUGUCUCCCCUUGUCUGGAAGCCUGGUGGCUCUUGGUCCCUUGGUACCAGCACUGGGAUGUGGAAUGAAGCACUCACUGUGUGGGAGCAGUCAGCAGCCCCUACAACAGUUUGAGCCAAGUGAGUCAGCUAGGCUUUGAUGCUUGUUCCUAAGCCAGUGCCGCUCCUCUCCCAUGGGACAUGAAGUGAGGGGUCUCCCUGGUUUCCCUUUUCUUCUGAGGACUUUUUCUGGGCAAUGUCUCAUUUUCAGAUUGGUGAAACCACCUCACUGUGUGUGCUUUUUCCUAUGAGCGAAGUUAAGGUGCAGUUUCAGAGAAGCCAGAAGUCCGGGUGGAUCACCUGCUUUACUGUCGUGUGUCUUCCUCCUGCUUGUGGCUCUUGGGCCAACUGAAAAAGUCAGCAUAAACGCAAGUAACGCUUUUCCUUAGUGGAAAAGCCCAUGCCACCCUCUCCAGUAGCAGCACACCUGUACCUAGAGGCUAGGAGGCCAGCAAAAGCCACAGCCUUUGGACUAGGUUAUAAGGCAUGAGUGCUGUGUCCCUGCCAAAGCGAAAGCAUCUUCCUGCCUCGUACUUAUUCCAAGUGCUUAUGGUUCUCCUCUCUUGGGUCUCUAUGCAGGCCUGCCCUGGCACCUCACAACUAGCUUUCCUCUUCAAAUCUCAGCACUGCCUCCCCUCCUCUCUGUGGGCUGUUGCCCUUCCUUUGGAAUUCACUGCCUAAGAGUCCAUCCAAGUUAAGAAGCCCCAUGCAGAACUAUUCCAUCCAUCCAUGUAAACUUCCUUCACUUGCUACAUUCCCAGUCACAGGUAACGAUGUGGAUCCUCUUCUCUUAGUCAUUCAUCUUUCAUUGGGCUCUUUUUUUUUUUUUUUUUUUUUUUUUUUUUACUUUUUGACAGGCAGAGUGGAUAGUAAGAGAGAGAGACAGAGAGAAAGGUCUUCCUUUGCCGUUGGUUCACCCUCCAAUGGCCGCCGCGGCUGGCGCGCUGCAGCCGGCGCACCGCGCUGAUCCGAUGGCAGGAGCCAGGUGCUUCUCCUGGUCUCCCAUGGGUGCAGGGCCCAAGCACUUGGACCAUCCUCCACUGCACUACCGGGCCACAGCAGAGAGCUGGCCUGGAAGAGCGGCAACUGGGACAGAAUCCGGUGUCAUUGGGCUCUUUUACUCCCCCCUCAUUUUCCAUUGGUCAGGAAAAACCCUGUGAGCUCUCUCGUCAGAGCAGAUGCAGAAUCUGAUGUCUUACCACCUCUGCUGCUACUGCCCUGACCCAAGUCCAUCUGUUCCCCCUGGAUUGUGGGAAUUGCUUUCCAACUGUCUCCCUGCCUCAUUGUCCUUCUCUUCGCUCCCCAUGACCAAUCCAGUAGCCAGAGUAAUGCUGUUAAGACAACAGUCCUGUCAUAUGGUGUCUGCUCAAAGCUGGCAGGCCUCAUGUCAUUCAGGGUAAAUCACAAGUCCUUGCCUGUACCCACCAGGCCACAUGUGCUCUGUUCACUAGUCCUCUCUCUUUCUUUCUCUCAUAGUUCUCCCCUCCCUUCUCAGUCCCCUCUGGCUGUACUAACGUCCUAUUGCUCCUAAAGUAGGUACAGACUUUUACCCCGUGUUCCUUCUGCCUGGAACUUUCCCUGAAGGUAUCCACAGGGUUCCCCUCUUCUCAUGUGUUUGAUUUAACAUUUGGUUUCCAUGUACCUGACCCUCAGCAUCUCAUCUCAUCUCUUGUGACCCCUCCACUCCCACCCCCACCUAAAUGCACAGUUCCCAUUUCCCUCCUUUUCUUGAUGCAUGUUGUCCUCUGAGCAUCCUUAUGUACUUGUUAUGGUUCUUUGCUUGUUUGUGCCUACCAGAACGUCAAUUCUCCAUAGCCUACUUUUUCAUUAUCUUUAGUGUGUGUCUGUUACGAUUUUGUUCUGAUUGUGUCUUAUAGUAGCUACUCCCUAAAUUUUAUGGAAUGAAUAAUGCAUGUUACCAACAACAUCGUCUGGCUUCACAACACAUUUUUUUUUUUGAUUCAUUGAAGAAUGAGAGGGAAAUGUUAAUGUUUCCUACAAUGUUGUGUUUCUCUCCGUUUCCCCUCAUAAUUAUAACAUCAUCAACAGAGUCCCAAAUAGAUAUUUUGUUAAGAUAUUCUUCACUCAGUGUGCCCUAUCCAAGUGUAAUAGGUUCAUACUUUUAUAGAGUCUUCUAUUUGGGGAUGAUUGAGCUGUAUGAUACGUGACCACAGCCAUAGAUUAUUUUCUUUCCACCUGGCUUCUGAUGGCAGGAUACCAUGGCUCUCUACUCUGCUCACCCCUUUGUGAAUGCCAGCAUUUGAAAAAAGCCAAUUAUAUGUCAGAUAGUAUGCAUAUUGCUACCCUGUCCAUGAAGAAUGACAAUGGUAUACCUGUCUGGUCAUGCCAAAUUCUUGUUCUGUAGCUCAUCUGAGGAGAAAUAGUCAUUAGCCCCAGUGGAGACUGAUUCUUCAUGACAACUACCUUCCAUCCUGCUGUGUCCACAAUGGCUGCCAGAAAAAGAAGCCUUGGGACUAUACCAGUUCCUUUCAGGACAGCCAUAAUAUCCCUGCUUGUGGCUGUAUAUCUGGUUUUCUCCACCCAUGCAGUCUUCUGAAGUUCCUCAGGAUCCUUCUCCAGUCUGUGCAGUGUGACUAUCCCUUCCCAUUCUUUGUCUUUGUAGCUGUUUCGGUUUGUAGCACAUCUUAGAGGGUACCAACUACCAUACCAGCAGCAAGUGGUUAGUUCUCUUAAAAACAAUCAGUUCUCCACUUUUUAACUACCUGGGAAAUAUCCUGUGCUCCAUUUAGUGAAAAGUGAACAUAAGUAAUUUUGUAUCUCUCCUUGGCUUUGAAUCACAUAGGUGUCGUGUUUUUUUUUUUUUUUUUUUUACUUCUUGUUUCCUAUCCUUGACUUUGCUCUCCAGGAGAAGCCUUAUUUAUCAACCAGCAGUGUCAGUUCAGUUACCUUGGCACUCCCCAUCAUCAGACAACUACUUGUGAGAUUAAGCUGCUUGGUACCUGUUAUAGAUGUGCAUUCUUGAAGGCCCUUCAGACAACGAGAAGGCAGCUGUCUGAAAACUGGAAGGAGGGUCCCCAACAGAACCUGACUGUGCUGGCAUCGUGAUGGAAGACUUCCAGAACUACAGAGUUACAGAGAGAGAGGUCUUCCAUCCACUGGUUCACAACCCAGAUGGCUGCCAAUGGCCAGAGCUGCGCCGAUCCGAAGCCAGGAGCCAAGAGCUUCUUCCAGGUCUCCCAUGCGGGUGCAGGGGCCCAAGAACUUGAGCCAUCUUCUAUUGCUUUCCCAGGCCAGAGCAGAGAGCUGGAUCUGAAGAGGAGCAGCCGGGACUGGAAUUGGCACCCAUAUGGGAUGCUGGCGCUUCAGGCCAGGGCAUUAACCCACUGUGCCACAGCGCCGGCCCCUCUUCUAGGAUUUUAUAGAUAUAGGUCUUACAUGUAGAUCUUUGAUCCAUUUGGGAUUAAAUUUUAAAUGCAAUGGGGGUCCAACUUUGUCUUUUGCAUGUAGGUAAUUCGGUUGUCCCAGCACCAUUUGUUGAAGAGACUAUACUUUCCUCACUGAAUGCUUGUCAAAAGCAAUUUAUCAUGGAUUUAUGGUUUAUUUCUGGGCUUUCAACUGUAUCCCAUUGGUCUCUUCUUGCAGGAAGUAUCACACUAUUUUGAUUACUGUAACUUUGAAGUUAGGAAAUACAAGUCAUCUAACUUUAUUUUUCAAGACUGUUUUGGCUACUGGGGGUCAUUUGAAAUUCUCUGAAUUUAAAGAUCACAUUUUCCAUUUCUGCAGAAAAAGACCAUUCAGAUUUUCAUAGAGAUUUCAUUUCGUAUGUAUAUUGCUUUAAGAAUAUUGACAGGUUUCCAAUGUACAAGUCUAGCACCUGCUUGCCUAAAUUUAUUUCUGUGCAUUUUCUUUUCUUUUUUUUUACCAUUGUACCUGGAAGUACUUUCUUAGUUGCCUUUGCAAAUUGUUGAUUUCUGUAUAGAAAUACAGCUGAUUUUUGUGUGUCAAUCUCUGUCCUUCACAUUUACUCAAUUCAUUUACCAAUUCUGAUAGUUAUUUGUAGAUCCUUUGCAGUUGU